rnacentral:rRNA from 1 species
UACGUAGGGUGCGAGCGUUAAUCGGAAUUACUGGGCGUAAAGCGUGCGCAGGCGGCUUCGCAAGUCAGGCGUGAAAUCCCCGGGCUUAACCUGGGAAUGGCGUCUGAAACUACGGAGCUGGAGUGUGGCAGAGGGAGGUAGAAUUCCACGUGUAGCGGUGAAAUGCGUAGAUAUGUGGAGGAAUACCGAUGGCGAAGGCAGCCUCCUGGGCCAACACUGACGCUCAUGCACGAAAGCGUGGGGAGCAAACGGG